UUUUUAAGUUUUGCCCCAAACCAUUUGAUUUGUUUGGAGAAAUCGGCGAUUGUUCUUGCUGGUUCCCCUCCUGUGGUCAGUCUGUCUUCUCCGUCGGUUUGUCCACAACCAGCAUCUUGGCUCAGCUUUGUCAUCUGUCCCCUGACCAGUUGCCAUUCCUUGCCUUGGGGUAACCCUGGGUUCUUUCAAACACACCCUUGUCUUGUCUCCACCAGACUGAGGCAGACCCCCUCUCUCUCCCCGGUUUGUCUACAACCAGCAUCUUGGCUCAGCUUUGUCAUCUGUCCCCUGACCAGUUGCCAUUCCUUGCCUUGGGGUAACCCUGGGUUCUUUCAAGCAAACCCUUGUCUUGUCUCCACCAGACUGAGGCAGACCCCCUCUCUCUCCCCACAGAACAUUUCAUGGAUUGUGCUGUCCCUCCCUUUCUCUUUCGGGAAGGACUUGUUGGCUAAGAACACCUGCUGGUCUGGACUUCUUCCUUCUCUCCGUGCCCACUGCUCGGAUAAGAAGCUUCUCUCGCCUCCUGCUAGUGAUUCAUCAUCCAGGAGUGAUUGAAGAGAUCACAGAUGGUAGGAGGAGCAGUUGUGUGCUGCUAACCAUAGAGGUCUCCCCUGUCUACAGAAACCUAAUUGAACAGGUAAGAACAUGUUUGGAUAUGUGAGAGUGAGGUCGGAGGGGGCAGUGGGCUCUCUUUCCUCUUUGAAGCUCACAUGAUGUCCUCUGCGGAGUUGGGGAAGGUGGCAUGGAAAUACUAGUGUUUCUCAUCCACAGCUCUACUGACGUUUUGGCUGAAUAAUUCCAUGUUUGGGGGGCUUCCUGUCCCUUGUAGGAUGUUCAGUACCAUCCUUGGCCCGUACCUACUGGAUGCCCAUAGCAGACAUAUCCAUCGCCAUUUGUGACAACCAAAUUGGCUCCCAACACUGCCCAAUGUCCCCUGGGGGGCAAAAUUGCCCCAGACUGAGCACCACUGAAAUAGAUCUGAUGUUGAGAGAGCAUGAAAAAAAAAAUAUUAAGAGAAAUGAGAGAGGAAGAAAAAGAGCUCAUACAUGAGAGAGAAAAUGAGGAUGACAAUAAAUGAAUGGAAUCAGGUCUCA
rnacentral:lncRNA from 1 species